UACAGGGGGUGCAAACGUUGCUCGGAAUCAUUGGGCGUAAAGCGCACGUAGGCGGUUCGUUAUGUCGGAUGUGAAAGCCCUUGGCUUAACCGAGGAAGUGCAUCCGAAACUGGCGAGCUAGAGUACGAAAGAGGAUCGCGGAAUUCCCGGUGUAGAGGUGAAAUUCGUAGAUAUCAGGAGGAACACCAGUGGCGAAGGCGGCGUCUGGGGAAGAUACUGACGGUGAGGUGCGAAAGCGUGGGGGAG
rnacentral:rRNA from 1 species